GCUGAAGCAAAACAACGCCUUCUCUCCAGGCCCUUUCUCCAACCUCUCUGUACUCUCCCUUCACAGCUCUAAGUCAAAGAGAGGCGUCCAUCUCUUCCAAUGAGGGUCUAGGGACACUUUUCUGGCCAAUCAGGAGCUGGAUCUCUCCACUCUGGGUGGGACAAAUUUCCACCUAUAAGUGGACUGCCCGUUGGUUUCUUUAUGGUGUUCGUUUUCCUCGAGGCAUAGAGGUCAGAACUGCAGGGUCUUCAGAUUCGGGGCUUGGCCGCCUCCGAAGACUAGCCAAUCCCUUUUAGGAUACUUUUGCGUGUUCAUUUAAAAAAAGCCGAAGUGACGGACUUGGAAAUUGGUUCAGUGAAGGACAAGCAGGGGAAGCCAAUCAUCGGAGGGCCAGGCCUCCAUUUGGACCAAUCAGAAAAGGAAAUCGGUCUCCAAGGGGGGCGUAAUUUGACUGACAGAGGACUCUACCUAUGGCUACUAGGGUGGGCAGGCCGGUGACGUCGGGAGUUAGUGCAAGGCGGAGGUGGGGCUGAAUAAAGUAAAUGUUGCGGGGGAGUUUCCUGCCGGCGCGGCUGGAGUCUCUGUUUCUCUGUGUCCGGUGGCUGGAAGAUGCUCCAGAGAGAUCAGGCUGCGGCGGAGGAGGUGGCGGCGGCCGAGUCGGCAGCGGCGCUGGGUUGGAGAGAAGGCGGCGGCGGCGGCGUGAGGGGCCGGACGGUGUAAACAGCUCGGGCGGCGGCGGUGGCCGAGCCCCCGAGG
rnacentral:lncRNA from 1 species